GCCGUCGGCAACCGCUUCGUCAGCUGAUUGGAGAAAGUGGAUGUCCAUCAGUGUCACGACGUUCCGUGGUAAGCAGAGGCGAAACCAAAAAGACGACUUCCCUCCGAAGGGUAGACGGGCCUGCUGGGAUACUGUGGGAGGACUGGGUCAGGCGCUGGGCGGGGUUUUCGCAGCUCCGCGGAACGCCGGGAAGGGGUCACGUCCAGACGAGGGUUCCGGUUCCGGUGCAGACGGCGGCAGCGGCGUUGCCACGGCAGCGCGGUUGGCCGGUACCUGGGUCGUGAGCUCGCGUUGUUGGAGGGGCUGGAGUAGGCCUCGGUCCUGCAUUGUCCGCUUAGAGUCAUUGAUUCCAGGUAAAUCAGAGGAACAGACAUCAUGAACAGAAAUAAUACGGAAAGUGAUGUGAUGCGGAAGUUUAACUGUUGUUCCAGAAGUCCAGCAUCUGUGGCUCAUAACUUUAGGAACUGUAUCAUUUUCAAGGUCACCUAACAUAUACUCAUAUUGGGUUGGCCAGAAAGUUCAUUUGGUUUUCCUGUAAGCUGAGAAAACCGACAUGAACUUUUUGGCUAACCCAGUGCUUAUAGUAAGUUUAUUUUAUUUUAUUUUUUCAGUAAAUAUUGACAGUUUGUUCCAGAAAAUGUAAAUUGUUCAUUGCCUCCUAUAAGCUGCCUGAUUCUCUGCUUGUGUUCACUGGAAUAGGGAGAAGAAUUUGCAAACCGAUUAUGUGAGGGUCCAAAAUGUGAAACUGGGUGGUGGGGAGUAGCCUGUUGUUUGCCUGGUCUGUAAUAUUGGCUUUGCCUGUACAAUUGACAGACAUUUUACUAAGUUGAGAAUAUAGCUGUCAUUAAGAAUAAUCGUUGAGCAGGAAGAAUAUGAACCCUAUGUUUUGCAAACUUACGAUAGAGUUGCUAGUUACAGUCAAUACGGUGAGACUGUCGGAAAUGCAAGGACAUGGAAAAGCAAGCGGGGGUUCUUUCAAAGAGCUAAGUGGGAUGGCUUUGAUAAGAUGAUGAAGGGAAAGAGAUCAUGUAUCUAGACCAAAGAAAUUGAAGCAAUACACCUAAAUGUAAGUUUUUAAUAAAGUAACCUGAAGUAUAAAA